GAGGACACAGGUUUAAGGUGAGGGAGGGUAGAGAUUGAAGAGGGACCUCGGGGCAAUUUUUUCACUCACAGGGUAGUCCGUCUCGGGAACGGGCUGCCUGAGGAAGCUGUAGAAACAAGUAGAAUGAC